AAAACCCCAACUCCGGAAGGGGGGAAUUUAUUAAAUAAAAAACCAUGGCCCUUCGGGGCUCCUUGGGGAUUCAUAAUAACUAAACGAAUCGCAGGGCCUUGCGCCGGCGAUGGUUCAUUCAAAUUUCUGCCCUAUCAACUUUCGAUGGUAGGAUAGGGGCCUACCAUGGUAUCAACGGGUAACGGGGAAUUAGGGUUCUAUUCCGGAGAGGGAGCCUGAGAAACGGCUACCACAUCCAAGGAAGGCAGCAGGCGCGCAAAUUACCCAAUCCCGACACGGGGAGGUAGUGACAAUAAAUACUGAUACAGGGCUCUUACGGGUCUUGUAAUUGGAAUGAGUACAAUUUAAAUCCCUUAACGAGGAACAAUUGGAGGGCAAGUCUGGUGCCAGCAGCCGCGGUAAUUCCAGCUCCAAUAGCGUAUAUUAAAGUUGUUGCAGUUAAAAAGCUCGUAGUUGAACCUUGGGCCUGGCUGGCCGGUCCGCCUCACCGCGUGCACUGGUCCGGCCGGGCCUUUCCUUCUGGGGAUCCGCAUGUCCUUUACUGGGUGUGUCGGGGAACCAGGACUUUUACUUUGAAAAAAUUAGAGUGUUCAAAGCAGGCCUUUGCUCGAAUACAUUAGCAUGGAAUAAUAGAAUAGGACGUGCGAUUCUAUUUUGUUGGUUUCUAGGACCGCCGUAAUGAUUAAUAGGGAUAGUCGGGGGCAUCAGUAUUCAAUUGUCAGAGGUGAAAUUCUUGGAUUUAUUGAAGACUAACUACUGCGAAAGCAUUUGCCAAGGAUGUUUUCAUUAAUCAGUGAACGAAAGUUAGGGGAUCGAAGACGAUCAGAUACCGUCGUAGUCUUAACCAUAAACUAUGCCGACUAGGGAUCGGGCGAUGUUACUAUUCUGACUCGCUCGGCACCUUACGAGAAAUCAAA
rnacentral:rRNA from 1 species